UGUGAUCACAGGCAACUCAGGAACAGCUCUCCAGCCCCAGGACUUCUGCUGGAACCGCUGGGAGUUGGAAGCUUUCUUCCCACUGAGGGGCAAACCUUCUAGGUAUCUGAAGAUGUUGAAGACCAUUUCCUGGAACAGCAGAGGUAAAUGCCCAGAGGAUGAGAACACAUAGCCAUUAGGAGAGCCUGAAAGUUCAGUGUGACUGAAAGAUGAAGUUCAAGAGAAGGGACAAACUGCAAAACACAAGCUGGAGAGUUUUAGGUAAGAGUCAUAUCACAAAAAGCCAUUAAGCAUUUUAAAAUGCUUAGCCUUUAUCCAAAGACUAAUGGAAAGGCACUGACAUGACCUAAUCAUGAAUGAGAAGAUUUGAUUAAAUAUAUCUCUCUACAAUGAUGGAGAAUGGACCAAAAGCAGGCGGGGACAAGGACAGUAAACUCUGCUAGGGACUGCUAGAAUGACCCUGAAAGAAUAGCCCUGAAGAUAGAAAGAAGUAGAUAGUUGCCAAAGAUACCUGUGGAAUACAAAAGUACCAGUGCCCACCAGAUCAAACUACACAUGGAUCUGAAUCUCAGAAAAGGGCUCCGAGCUAGGGAAAGAGAUUUAGAAGCCUUCAGCAGAGAGAUGAUGUUUUAAGCCUUAGGAGUGAAUGAAAUUACCCAGAGAACAUGCAUGAUGAGAAGAGAACCUGGAACAGCAGGGGCCAAGAUUUAGGAUCUGUCAGACAACGAGGAGCCCAAGACUGAGACCUGUUAAUCCAAAAUGCACCAUUUUGUAAGCUCCCUGCCAAUAUGCAGACCUUGGUCAAAGUGAAACAUUCCACGAGGGUUCGGGCCAUGAGAACCUGCCUGCCCAACCGCCUGACUUUAACACAUUCUGCUGAGAAAAAGUCCAAGGAACAUCAUUAUUACAUUCUGUGGGAACAAGGCCCCAACUGCCUCAUUGUGGGAACGUCUUCUCAACAUCUUCCCUGGCAGCACGCCAUACUGCCCAGACCCCUCCCUGCCAUACCUACAAGUAUCCCAGCCUGUAAGCAGUGGUGGGCACUGGCAUUAAGCUGGUCCUCCACCUCGGCAGGUUUACCUGGACAUAAAUACCUGCAUUUGCUGUUGAGCCGCCCUCUCGCUCUAUGUGUGUCUUUAACCCUCACCUUCCCUUGGAAACCUAACAAGAAGCAGGAGCCAGGAAGGUAGGAGGAAGACAGAAGCCCAUGGUGUUAAAAACAGCCACAGGAAUUAUGUAGAACAGUGAUUCUCAAAGUGAGGUCCACAAACUCUCGGGGCUCCCAUGACCCUUGUAGGAGGUCCACACAAGCCAAAAUAUCUCUAUAUGGAUACUAAGGUGUUAUUUGUUGAUUUCAUUCUCAUGAGCACAUGAAUGCAGAAUGGAGAUUUCCGGAGGCUACCGGAAAGGUGAUAUUGCAACAAACUGGAGAAACAACAUCAUGAAAUUUCUCCAUUUUAAUUUCUAAUAAAUAUCAAUGUUUAUAAGCAAAAUGGUUUUUUUGGUGGGGUGGUUUUCAACAAUGUAAGGAUAAACAGAUCCUGUGAUCAAAGAGUGAGAACACAGCCAUAGAGAGCUUUACAAAGGGCAUCAGUAUUAAUGUCAAAUGUUACUGAGGCCUCGAGGGAACUAACCAGUCAGAAGCAACCAUCGAAUUUAGUAAUGGACUUCACUCACUUGGUGAAAGCUGUUCCGUGUCAUGGUGGCAGAGACACAGCACAGUGGCUGAGAGUGAGCAGGAGCUGUGGAAGUUGAAUAAUGCCUGAAGGGACCAUUCUUUCUAGAGACUGUGGAAUGGAAUGACUCUCCAGAGCUGCAGAUUGAAGGCAUAUUUUCAUCUGACUUUGAUCUCAAUGGCGGGAACACCUUCAUGGCCCCUUUAUAGCUGGUAUGUUUUCUUCUUAUGGACAAUGAGAAACAUGUAAUAAACUGUGUUUCCUUCUCGC
rnacentral:lncRNA from 10 species